UACUGGGAAGGAUUGAUUAGAUUAUUUUUUUUUUUUUCAAGUGUAUUGACGCCUUGACACAGGCAAAGCAAAACAAAAAUAAAACGUGAUCCACAGCUUAUCGUUUUUGAAUUUGGUAAACAUGGCUUACGUUGGCUUCUGUUUUUUUUUAGGCUUAUCCACUGUGCUCUUUUUUUUCUUGGGGGAUUCCGCUGAAACGGGAAAACACCAGUGUGAGUUUUGGACACAGCGCUCGCAAACCUAAAGGAGACGGACACUCGUGUCCAGGGCUGCUCAUGCACAAAGUUUGACGAGGUGACUUACGAUGGGUUGAGCACGCCGCAGCGCAAGGCCCACUUGAAGGUGUCGUGCAUCGGAUCCACGUCCAACAGGAGGGGCAUCCAAUAGGUGUGAAGUCUCAUCAAAUGUGCUGACAUAUGUUUUUCAUGGAACGGCAUUUUGCUCCAGUACUCAGCUAUGAUGCCUAAGCACAUGCACACAAAAAUGCAGUCAGCCAGAGAACACCACAGCAUGUGCCAAUAAACAUAGACAAUCAA